rnacentral:piRNA from 1 species
UUCAGAGUAAGCUGAUGAAAA